rnacentral:rRNA from 1 species
AACAAGGAUUCCCCUAGUAACUGCGAGUGAAGCGGGAAGAGCUCAAAUUUUGAAUCUGGCGGUCCUCGUGGUCGUCCGASUUGUAAUCUAGAGAAGCGUUUUCCGCGCUGGACCGUGUACAAGUCUCCUGGAACGGAGCGUCAUAGAGGGUGAGAAUCCCGUCUCUGACACGGACUACCAGGGCUUUUGUGAUGCGCUCUCGACGAGUCGAGUUGUUUGGGAAUGCAGCUCAAAUUGGGUGGUAAAUUCCAUCUAAAGCUAAAUACAGGCGAGAGACCGAUAGCGAACAAGUACCGUGAGGGAAAGAUGAAAAGAACUUUGGAAAGAGAGUUAAACAGUACGUGAAAUUGCUGAAAGGGAAACGCUUGAAGUCAGUCGCGUUGGCCGGGGAUCAGCCUUGCAAUCUUGUUGGGUGCAUUUCCUGGUUGACGGGUCAGCAUCGAUUUUGACCGUCGGAGAAGGGUCGAGGGAAUGUGGCAUCCUUCGGGGUGUGUUAUAGCCUUUGAUCGUAUGCGACGGUUGGGAUCGAGGAACUCAGCAUGACCCCUCGUGGGUUUGGGGCUUCGGCUCACAUCCAUGCUUAGGAUGCUGGCAUAAUGGCUUUAAGCGACCCGUCUUGAAACACGGACCAAGGAGUCUAACAUGCCCGCGAGUGUUUGGGUGUUUAAAACCCGAGCGCGUAAUGAAAGUGAAAGUUGAGACCUCUGUCGUGGAGGGCAUCGACGCCCGGACCAGAACUUUUGUGACGGCCCUGCGGUAGAGCGYGUAUGUUGGGACCCGAAAGAUGGUGAACUAUGCCUGAAUAGGGUGAAGCCAGAGGAAACUCUGGUGGAGGCUCGUAGCGAUUCUGACGUGCAAAUCGAUCGUCGAAUUUGGG